GCACGUAAUGGUGGGAACUCCAGGGAGACUGCCGGUGAUAAACCGGAGGAAGGUGGGGACGACGUCAAGUCAUCAUGGCCCUUACGAGUAGGGCUACACACGUGCUACAAUGGCGCAUACAGAGGGCUGCAAGCUAGCGAUAGUGAGCGAAUCCCAAAAAGUGCGUCGUAGUCCGGAUUGGAGUCUGCAACUCGACUCCAUGAAGUCGGAAUCGCUAGUAAUCGUGGAUCAGAAUGCCACGGUGAAUACGUUCCCGGGCCUUGUACACACCGCCCGUCACACCAUGGGAGUGGGCUGCAAAAGAAGCAGGUAGUUUAACCUUCGGGAGGACGCUUGCCACUUUGUGGUUCAUGACUGGGGUGAAGUCGUAACAAGGUAGCGCUAGGGGAACCUGGCGCUGGAUCACCUCCUUACGUAAAGA
rnacentral:rRNA from 1 species